rnacentral:lncRNA from 1 species
AGUAGCCAACCUGCACGCUCUAUCUGUGGAGCCACCAACUGGCCCUGACCCCUGAACAGGUCACCUGCUUGGGCCCCAUGAUGGAAGGAAGCUCUGCUCUUUAGAACACACAGCGGACGCCGUGCUGGGGAAGUGUGACUCAGAGGCAAGGAGAGCAGGGAGGAGAGACUCCCAGGAGGAGAUGAGAGAGGCUGCACUUCAGGAUCCAGCUCAAACCAGCCCCUGCCAGGGCGAGGUGUUCCACACUUUCCAAAGCUCAUCACAUCCAUUAUCUCUGUGACCCAGAGACAGGCCUGCCAAGCGGGCUUGUGUGAGGUCACUGUGCCCUGUGCGUGCUGCCCUCCAAAUCCUCUUGCAUCCAUUCCUUCCCCUCCAUCGCACCUCAGCCCUUAUCAUCUCUCAUGGGUGAGGCAAUAGGCUGCUGCUCCGCUCCCGCUCCCAGCUCGUGCCCUCUAGCCGCCUGAGUGAUCAUUCUGCACUACAAAUUUGUUCAUUCUGCAGUUGGCUGAACAGCCUCCAUCAGCCGCCGGAGGGAGCAGAAUAAAAUCCUGACUUCUUUGCA